rnacentral:RNase_P_RNA from 1 species
CAACCGGAUCAGUAAUCGCGGAUUCAGUGAAUCUGAGGAAAGUCCGAGCACCACAGAGCAGAAUGCCGGGUAACACCCGGUGGAGGUGACUCCAAGGCAAGUGCAACAGAAAGCAAACCGCCAUGAAAAUGGUAAGGAUGAAAGGGUGAGGUAAGAGCUCACCGGUGGCUUGAGUAAUCGGCCAGCCAGGCAAACCCCAUUCGGUGCAAGACCAAGAAAAGGCUCAAAAAGCGGUUGCUCGCCGCUGCCAAAAUGGUAGGUCGCUAGAGUUUAUUGGUAACAAUAAACCCAGAUAGAUGAUUACUAAACAGAACUCGGCUUAUAGAUCCGGUUGGUAC